GAUGUGUUCUAACUGUUAUAUUUCACCAAAAAUCCAUGUUUGUUGAUAUUUUGUUAUUUAUUUUCAUAUAAAUCUGGUUUUGUGUGUAUUUAUUUUGGGGAGCUUUUAUUUUGUUAAUUUUAUUCUGGCGGUGUGACCAGUUGCCUGUUAGUGAUGUCACUUCCUGUAUUCUCCUCAGUAGCGGUACGCUAUGGUGAGGAGAGGUGUGCUAUGUGCGUGUAGGAACCCAGAGCUGCUGUACUGAUUUAAUUGUGUGUUGUACACAGGUAUGCAAAAUAAAACCCCCGUUCAACUGGCAAAGCAGAAGAUGUCUGUCGUCCAUUACUACGCAUACUGAAAUUGAGGGAGUGUCAGGCCAGACCGGCUACA